rnacentral:rRNA from 1 species
UACGGGGGGGGUAAGCGUUGUUCGGAAUUACUGGGCGUAAAGGGCUCGUAGGCGGCCAACUAAGUCGGACGUGAAAUCCCUCAGCUUAACCGGGGAACUGCGUCUGAUACUGGAUGGCUUGAAUCCGGGAGAGGGAUGCGGAAUUCCAGGUGUAGCGGUGAAAUGCGUAGAUAUCUGGAGGAACACCGGUGGCGAAGGCGGCAUCCUGGACCGGCAUUGACGCUGAGGAGCGAAAGCCAGGGGAGCAAACGGG